rnacentral:rRNA from 1 species
AGCAGUGGGGAAUAUUGGACAAUGGGCGAAAGCCUGAUCCAGCCAUGCCGCGUGUGUGAAGAAGGUCUUCGGAUUGUAAAGCACUUUAAGUUGGGAGGAAGGGCAGUAAAUUAAUACUUUGCUGUUUUGACGUUACCGACAGAAUAAGCACCGGCUAACUCUGUGCCAGCAGCCGCGGUAAUACAGAGGGUACAAGCGUUAAUCGGAAUUACUGGGCGUAAAGCGCGCGUAGGUGGUUCGUUAAGUUGGAUGUGAAAUCCCCGGGCUCAACCUGGGAACUGCAUUCAAAACUGACGAGCUAGAGUAUGGUAGAGGGUGGUGGAAUUUCCUGUGUAGCGGUGAAAUGCGUAGAUAUAGGAAGGAACACCAGUGGCGAAGGCGACCACCUGGUCUGAUACUGACACUGAGG